GUUGUUUGGGAAUGCUGCUCAAAAUGGGAGGUAAACCCCUUCUAAAGCUAAAUACUGGCCAGAGACCGAUAGCGCACAAGUAGAGUGAUCGAAAGAUGAAAAGCACUUUGAAAAGAGAGUUAAACAGCACGUGAAAUUGUUGAAAGGGAAGCGCUUGCGACCAGACUUGUGCUCGUCGAAUCAGCCGUCGCUCGUCGGCGGCGCAUUUCGGCGGGCUCAGGCCAGCAUCAGUUCGCUGUGGGGGAGAAAGGCGGUAGGAAUGUGGCUCCUCGGAGUGUUAUAGCCUACCGUAUAAUACCCCUCGGCGGACUGAGGACCGCGCAUCUGCAAGGAUGCUGGCGUAAUGGUUGUCAGCGACCCGUCUUGAAACACG
rnacentral:rRNA from 1 species